UCUAGUAUGGUGGUUAUGACACUCGGCUUGUAAACGAGUGGGUUUGGGUUCAAAUCCCAAGUAAUGAA